AAUGCUUUUUGCCCUGUAUGAAUUAUCAUGUGUGUUUCCAGGUUGCUCUUUUGUCCAAACCUUUUACCGCACUCAGAACAGACAAAUGCUUUUUGUCCUGUAUGAAUUCUCAUGUGUGUUUCCAGGUGGCUCUUACGUCCAAAUCGUUGUCCACACUCAGAACAGACAAAUGCUUUUUCUCCUGUAUGAAUUAUCAUGUGUGUUUUCAGGUUGCCCUUUCGUCCAAAUCUUUGUCCACACUCAGAACAGACAAAUGGUUUCUGCCGUGUCUGAAUUCUAAUGUCUUUGUUCAGAGUGCCCUUAUGUUUCUGUCCUUUACUCCCAUCAGAACAGCUAAACGGUUUUCUUCUUGCUUUCCUCCCCUUUUGUUGCUCUGAGUUGUUCAUGCGACCAGAUGCUUUUCCAUAUUUAGAGCCUUUAAAUUGUUUCUUAUCAGUGUUGUCUGAAUGAACAAUACUGGUAUUUUUCUGACAGUUAAAACUUGACUGAAGUUCUCUGGUCUGUUUCCAGUCUUC